AACGCGAAGAACCUUACCAGGUCUUGACAUCCCGUGAAUAACCUAGAGAUAGGCGAAGCCCUUCGGGGCACGGAGACAGGUGGUGCAUGGUUGUCGUCAGCUCGUGUCGUGAGAUGUUGGGUUAAGUCCCGCAACGAGCGCAACCCUUACUAUUAGUUGCUACGCAAGAGCACUCUAAUGGGACUGCCGUUGACAAAACGGAGGAAGGUGGGGAUGACGUCAAAUCAUCAUGCCCUUUAUGACCUGGGCUACACACGUAAUACAAUGGCGAUUAACAGAGGGGCGCGAAACCGCGAGGUGGAGCAAAUCCCCAAAAAUCGUCUCAGUUCGGAUCGCAGGCUGCGACUCGCCUGCGUGAAGUCGGAAUUGCUAGUAAUCGCGGAUCAGCAUGCCGCGGUGAAUACGUUCCCGGGUCUUGUACACACCG
rnacentral:rRNA from 1 species